rnacentral:rRNA from 1 species
UACGUAGGGUGCGAGCGUUAAUCGGAAUUACUGGGCGUAAAGCGUGCGUAGGCGGUCCGCGAAGUCUGAUGUGAAAUCCCCGGGCUCAACCUGGGAACUGCAUCUGUGACUGCAUCGCUGGAGUGCGGCAGAGGGGGAUGGAAUUCCGCGUGUAGCAGUGAAAUGCGUAGAUAUGCGGAGGAACACCGAUGGCGAAGGCAAUCCCCUGGGCCUGCACUGACGCUCAUGCACGAAAGCGUGGGGAGCAAACAGG